AUACAUUUACACUAUUUUUAGGUUGUAGAAUGUAUUGAUGGUAAAACAUUGAUCUUCUUUUUCUUCGGAAUUUCUCGCGGUAUUUUUAAGCGGCAAUUCAAAUUUGAUUAAUUUUUUUUAUCUCUCCUUUAAUUUAUAUUAUAAAGUUACUUGAUAAAUUACUAGUUAAAUUUGUAAUUCAUAUUAUUUUAAGAAAAUGAUAAACAAAAAUAGGAUUUUACGAAAAAUAUAAUUAUUAAAUAUUCGUGCGCUCUGUAGUUUUCGGUGUCCAGGUGUAAAUACUGUUCGAAGACGUUGUCUAGGUGUACCGGGUGGCUCAUGACGAGGUCAUGGGAGUGCGCUCCGUAGUUUUAGAUAUCUAGGUGUAAAUACUUGACCAGGACAGCGUCUAGGCGUAUAGGAUAGCCGAUGACGAGGUCUAUGUGGUGCGCUCCGUAGUUUUCUGUGUCCAGGUGUAAAUACUGAUCAAAGACAGUGUCUAGGUGUACAGGGUGGCCGAUGACGAGGUCUAUGUGGUGCGCUCCGUAGUUUUCUGAGUCCAGGUAUAAAUACUGAUCAAAGACAGUGUCUAGGUGUACAGGGUGGCCGAUGACGAGGUCUAGGUGGUGCGCUCGAUAGUUUUCGGUGUCCAGGUAUAAAUACUGAUCAAAGACAGUGUCUAGGUGUACAGGGUGGCCGAUAACGAGGUCUAGGUGGUGCGCUCCAUAGUUUUCGGUGUCCAGGUGUGAAUAAUGAUCGAAGAUGGUGUCUAGGUGUACAGAGUAGCCGACGACGAGGUCUAGCUGGUGCGCUCCGUUGUUUUCGGAGUAAAUACAAGACUGUAACAGGGUCUAAGUGUUCAGGGUGGCUGAUCACGAGGUUCAGGUUAUGAGUUCCAUUUUUUUCUUUUCUUUUUUUUUGUUCUAGUAUAAAAACAAGUCAAGGUAAAAAUUCGAGAAUGUUGACAUUUGAAUACUAAACUAUACAAACCCACUUAUACUUGCCAAAAUUUCACUUUUUUUGAAAGGUUAAUUUUUAGAUAGAAAAUAUACUUUCACAAAAGUAAAUAAAAGUUUGAUGUUUUUUUAAAUUUUAUCCCAACCCUGGCUUGACUUCUUAAUUCAUGUAGAUUGUUCAUUUAAGUCGUUUCAAAAUAAAAUAAAUAAAUAUUUGAUGGAUUCGAAUGGAUUUAUUUAAGUGAGAUCAUUCACAUUUUUUUGUAACGUUAGAGAUAUUUACUGUUGGAGAUAUACAAAAUAUUAAACUGAAGUUUUUAAAAUCUCAGUAGUUUACAAUUAGCAGAAUACAGUACUAGAACUCGGAUUUAGGAAAAUAAAUUUUAAUAAAUUUAUUAAUUGGAAUAAAUACAACUUAUUUAAUAUAAAUAUUAUAUUAGAAUACAAAAUAGUAUAUUAUGGAAAUAAGGGAGUUGGGGCAGGGGAUUCUUGGCUAGGGUGACGAAUGUAUUACUCUUCCUGCUGUUUCAUAAUAGAUUGUUUAUUACGUUACUGAGUUUUACUAUUUACUAAGUUUUCCAAAAUUCCUCAAUAUCCCGAUUUUCCUAAAUAUUCCGAAUACCUUUAAGAGUGCUCUACAAUCUUAAACCACCAAUGAGAACACAAGAUUUGUCUCGACAAAUUACGGCUUUAUUUAAUAACAAAUUAUAAAUCCGUAAUUUGUCGAGAAAAAUCUCGUGUUCUCAUUGGUCGUUCAGGAUUGCAGAGCACUCUUAAUCUUAAAUGUAAGAAAAUAGCAUUCUCCUAUAUAAAAAUGUUUUCAGCAAUCUUACUUUAACUCGAUAUGGAUGGAUUACGAUGUUUUCUAUGCCAAUAUCAAUUAAUUCCUGGUGGAUUAAAAGAUUUUACACAACAUUUUACUAUGUAUCAUAGUAUUAAUGUUACCAAAGGAAUACCUGAUACUGGAUUCAUAUGUGGGCAAAAUGGUUGUCAGAGCAAUUUUGUUCAUUUUCGUAACUUAAGACGUCACAUAUUAAAUAACCACUUGGCUGAAGCAAAUUUGGCAACAGCUGCUGCCGAUGACGAAGUCAAUGCAGUUGAAAUGAAUGAAAAUAUGGAAUAUGACAAUAACGAUAUAUUAGAGCAUCAUGAAAUGGAAGCUGAAGCAUUCAAUAAUAUGGCUAGGGAUAUUGUAAAUGCCCCUUUAGAUUUGCGAUCUUACAUUCUUAAAAUGAUUUGUAAAUUGCAUAGUGAUACCUCUAUGACAGGAUCUGCUAUAACGAGAUUUCUAAACCAUAGUGAAAAUUUGCUUUCAAUCUACUCAAAUUCAUUAAAAGAUGAAAUAAAUGCUCAACUGGUUCAACAUCUAGUAAAUAAUGAAAUUAUUAGAGACGUUAAUAAGGUUUUUGAUAACGAAAAUCCAUUUCUAGAUUUAAAAACAUUUGAACAGCAAAUGAAGGCACUGAAUGAAAAUAGUGACUACAUUGAUCCAAUCGAAAUUCCUUUGGGUCGACGUGUGGAUUCCAGAUUAAAUAAAACAACUCUAUCGUAUGUAUCAAAAGAGGUCGUAGAAUCUUAUCAAUAUGUUCCUGUAAUAAAGGUUUUAAAAAUGGUUUUAAGCAAUCAAGAAGUUAGGUUAAUUAUCGAUAAUGAGCAGCCAUCUUCUGAUGGUAGUUUGGAGUCAUUUAUAGACGGGAAUCAUUUUAAGAAUCAUGUUUUCUUUCAAAAGUACAAAAAAGCUUUAAGAUUAAAAUUAUAUUACGAUGAGAAAGAACUUGUUGGUCCCUUAGGUUCUAAAACGGGUGUUCAUAAGGUUGGAGUUUUUUACUACCAAAUUUCAAAUUUACCUGCUCAUAUGAAUUCUGCGUUAAACAGUAUUCAUGUUUUGAUAGUAGCUCAUCACGUUGAUGUCCAAAAGUAUGGCUUCGAGAAAAUUCUUUCUCAUUUUAUGAAAGAGUUAGCCCAAUUAGAAAGUGAUGCGGGAAUAACUUUGAAGUUUGGAGAUGAAAAUUUUAUUCUUCGAGCUUCCAUUGAAAGUUUUUGUGGAGAUGCACUAGCCCUUCAUGACGUUUUCAACUUAUUGAGUCCUUCAGCAAAUUUAUUUUGUUCAUUGUGUUUGUAUAAUCGACAAAAUCUACACAAUUGUUCUUUUGAAAAAUCUCAAGUUCGUACUAAAAAUGUAUAUGAUCAGCAUUUGGAAUUACUGAAAAGUACAAAUUUCUCUGAUGAUUCAAAGACAGCAACGGGCAUGAAAGGUGACUGCUGCUUGAAUAAAUCUUUAUAUUUUCAUAUUACAAACAACAAAGUAUUUGACAUUAUGCAUGACUUUUUAUGCGGUAUAUGUCCAAUAAUUUGUAAAUUAGUUCUCCAUGAAUAUGUAUGUGCCCAAAAACGAUUUGAUAUUCCUUUUUUAAAUAAUCGCAUACAUUUGUUUAAUUAUGGUUAUCUUGAAGUUAAAAAUAAACCUUCAGCAACUUUCACCGAAGAUAUACUCAAGAGAAAGGAUCAUACACUUAAACAGAAAGCUAUGCAAAUAUGGUUGUUGACUAGAGCUUUGCCAUUUCUACUCGCAGGAAAGAUUGAAGAAGGAGAUGAACACAUGUAUCUAAUAAUUCUGUUACUUCGAAUAAUGGAAAUUAUUUUUUCACCAAAAUUACAAAAACCUUUGCUUUCUCUUUAUGAUAAUCUAUAAUAAUCAAUAAUCUACUUCAGGAAUUCGUAGAAUGCUUUAAAAAUUUAUUUCCAAAUGUUAAUAUCAUCAACAAAUUUCAUCACGCAAUGCAUUAUUCUGAAUGUGUUCUUUGGUCUGGACCUCUUGUUCACUUUUACUGCAUGAGGUUUGAAGGAAAACAUAACGAAUUGGCCAAGCGAGCUCAAGCUGUAAAUAAUUUUAAAAACAUACCAAAAACUAUAAUUCGAGUAUCACAAUGUAUUCAAUGUGAAAAGUGGAGUUCAGGAAAUGUUAAAAUAAACCAUCAUGAAGUAGUAACUGGUAAAACAAAAUUUGUUUGCAGUACAUUAAGUAGACAGUAUCUUCUUCGACUUGGUUUUGAAGGUAAUAAUUUUGUAUGUGUAACAAAAUCGGUUUUAGUCAAUAGUGUUGAAUUUCGACCAAAGCUAUUUGUUAUUUUGGAAAAAGCUUCAUCAAGGAACGAUAGCUUACAUCUUUUCGGGAGAAUAGAAGAAAUCAUUGUAACAGAGGAAAAAAAUACAUUUUUCCAGAUAAUAGCUGAAUUCGAACUCAUGUCUCCAGAAAAAUGUGAUGAUUUCUUGUCUAAAUUUGGCCCAUAUUACGUUCCACGUAUUUUUGAAUAUACAAGAAUAUGCAAUUAUGAUUUAUGGAAAAAACAUAAUGCUAUAACCGACGAUGUUUUAAAAGCUUUACUUCUGUUGAUAACAUUAUUGCCAGUAAGCAAUGCUGUCAAAAAUAAAUCAAAGAAAAAAGUUGAUAAGCCAAUGGAUAGUUCCCAGAAAAAGAAAGUUAAAAUGAUCGAGCCCUAUCGAUUCAUGAUCGAAAACAUAAAUGCUGGAGCUAAUGUUCAAGAAUUCGUAAAAUCGAAACGAUCUGAAUGCACAUCGACCAUUCAACCGUACAUCAUUCAAGUUGAUGACGAGACACCCCACUUUUAUGUUAUUGCUGACAAUGCUAUACUUACGUGUAAUAAUCGAAACGAUUUUACUGCGGCCUUUGAUUUGAUGUUUAAAAUUUAUUUCAUAUUUAAUAUUCAGUAUCCAGUGUCUUUACAAAAUGUCUAUACGUUUAUAGAGUCGUACGUAUAUCGCUUAACAGAAAAAAAGUCAAUUUCUAUUGUGGCAUCAUUAUAUGUCAAUUUAAAAAAUAUGAAUUUGACUCACGAUAGCAAUAGUUCUGAUAGUGACGAAUAAAAUUGCUAUUUCUUACGGAUAUUAAUUUUUUAUUACUCCAUCAGAAUUUGUAAAAAUCAUUAAAUAAAUUGAUUAUGAAUUC